ACCAGUACCUUUUCUUCCUCCCAUUUAUACCACCAGUUCUCCAUCUAUUUCUAUUCCAGGAACAGCUGGUCCUUCACAAGAAACCACCCCAGUUCCUCCAUCAAAACCACCUACUGCCUCUAGUUCUAAGGGAGAGGAACAAGUUCCUUCAGACGAUUGUGGCUGAGUAAAUGAGGUAUGUCUUCCUGCACAACACAUUAUUAAGUUUUAUAAUCACCUCCACUGGACUUUAGAUGCCAAAACUGAUAAGAUGCUGAGUUUAAUGAAAGUUCUUAGUGAUACGAUGAUUGACUAACAAAAGAAGAUAGAGGCAAUGACCCAAGCCAUUGAGAGUUUGAAGCAGCAACUUGAUGAGUACCAUGGAGUGGUGAUGAAGAAGUUGGAGGAUGUGGUUGAAGAAGAAGUUGUUGAGGAACACCAUUCCCCUUCCCUUCCUAGUGCUUAGUUCUUGUUUCUCUUCAAGGAACAAGACUACUUGGCUUUGUUUUUCUUUCUUUUCUUUCUUUGUUUUUUUUGUCCUUUAAGGAACAAGUGCUAUAAAUACAUGACUUUUGCUAUUUUUGUCUUCGUUUGUGAUUUUUGUGCAUAAUUUUUUACUUGGAAUGGCUAGUAUUCUGUGAUUGAUGUUUGAGCUAGUCUAACCUUUGCAUAUCCUAACUUAACCAUUUUUAUGGUGCUUGUUCAUGGUCUCAAGGUCUUGAUCACUAUUCAUGAAAUCACACAGAGUUUGAUCUUUUUGACGAUGACAAAGGGGGAAAAAGAUUCCGGAACAAACUAAUAACUAAAAUAAAAAUUAAAAAAUUUACGUAGCAGUAAAGGUAAAUGAAAAAAUCAAAAUUAAGUUUCUUAAUUUAAAAGGUAAAUGAAAAAUCAAAAUUAAGAUACUUAAUCCUGUUUUUUCAUUCAUUUCCUGUUUUAUUAUUUUUUCUUUUUCAUUCGCUUAUGUUAUUUGUUAUUUCCUUAGUUUGUACCUUUGUUGUCAUCAUCAAAAGGGGGAAAUUGUUGAACCAUAGUUUUGAUGAUGAUAAAGGAACAAAGAUGCAAACUAAGUACUGGACUAACAAGUUGUUUAAGUGAGUGAAUUUCAAGGUAUCAUUGAAAGGAAUAAAGAGAAUACUAAGUCGAGGAAGAAAUCAAGUUUGGAUUUUGAAGACUAAGUGAAGAUAUUUCUCUAUUUGGUACUGGAGCAACAUUGGAGCAAGAAGACUAAAGCGUGGCUUUUUAAUUCUAAUUCCAUUGUAAAGGAACGAGUAAAGAUGAAUGCAUUGAAGGCGCAAUCGGGAAAAAGUGAAGUUGUCAUAGAGGGUGGUCGAGAUAAUAUUUUGGCUAGAGCACUCAAGAAUCCCGAGCAUGGUGGAUAUGUUAGGGGUGUUGGAUCAGGCAUCACAAACACAAAGUACUUUGGAUUUUCUAGAGCAACACCACCCAGCCAGAUGCGAGCCGAAAUAACUAACCUUAGGUCAGAGAUGAGACGUAUGAAAGACAACCAACAAUUUAUGAUGUCUUUUAUGAUGUCAUGCUUAACGCAAGAGCAAAUGAAACAAUUUAUGGCCGGUGCAAGUCUAAUGGGGACUUUUGGUGGCCAAGGUGGUGGGCAGUUUAGUGGUUUCGGUGGUCAUAGAGAUGGCCAAGUAUAUGAAGGGAAACAACAAAGCAGCUUAACUGGACAAGGGCAAAAAGAUGGCUUCUUCAUUCAAUUACUAACUAGAGGUGAUGGGUUUUCUAUAUUGUCUAAAGGUAUGUUAAGCCCUUUGAAAUCUCAACCUCAAAACCAAGAGCGAUAGCCCGAGCCCAAGCGCUGUAUUGUUCGUUGGCCUGAGGAUGCUGUGACUCAACAAGUGACUCAACAAGAACCUGAGAUUCACUAUCAGCUUCCUUAUCCUUCCCCCACGAGUAUUCAUUUGCGCAAAAUGGACUACGACACUAAACCUGUUAGUGAACAUAAAUUGCCUCAGAAUCCGACCAGGGUAUUCAUGAUUGUUGCUUGGCGAUUGAGAAUGAGUUUGAGAUUCUAAUUGUUGCAAUCGGACAAGUGCACAUACUGGGGUCAACAGAAGUGACUUUGAAUCACUUCACAUCUCUAUCACACGAUUAUCGGUGAGUCUCUAUUACCAAAGAUAUUGUGCCAACUGCACCAUUGCCAUGUCCUAAUGAGGAGUGUAGUGUAGCGUGCCAAGCAAUGUGUACCUUUGUUUCUUAGCAUGCUCGCUUAAUUUUUCCAAAGACAAAGGUACAAUCCUAUCGAGGUUAUGCAAGUACAAAUGCCUUAAUUACAAAUGUAGCUUUUGCAACUCAAUUAAUCAUAUUUUUUUGUUUGCUUGUAAGUAUAAAAAGCAUGCAGUAAAUGUCGUUGUCUCACAAUCACCAGCUUCACAAACAUCAACUACUCAAAAGUGUGACAUUACUGAUAAGGAUCAUGCCAAGCUGACCACUGAUUUGUUGAAGACUUUGAAGAAAGAAGUUAUGCUGAUGAAAAGGGCGCAUGGAAACAUCAUAUUAUCGAUCCCGGAUAGCGUGUUUUACAAUGAGCAAGAGGUAAGGCUUGAUUAUGAAGACAUGCUGCAUUGGUGCUUCCAGAGAGAGAUGGGAUCAGCUCACAUGUCGAUUCACAUGAAGCACUUAAGUGAAUCAUGUCAGAAAGAUGGCAUAUCCGGGGUGUAUGGAUUUUGUGAUCCUAAUUAUCUAGCUCCAUGGACUUGAACUGUAGAAGAAGAUCGAUAUGACUAUUUAUGUCGUGUUUUCGGGUGCAAUGGAGGCAAGAACCUUAACCAACUAUUUUUUGCACCUUUUCAUGAAAAGUAAGUGUGUAUGCGUAAUAUAUUGAAAUUUGAUAUAAAUUAGCGUAUAUGAGUAUUUUUUUUUUGCCUUUGCUAAUAACUUGCAUAUAGACGACAUUGGAUGCUAGCUUCCAUAAGCCCUUAGAACGGAAUAGUUUUUUGGCUUGAUCAUAGUGGAGCAGACUAUAUCCAUGAAUUUGCUGAACGGAUCAUCAAUGAAGGUAUUGUUUAGUUCAGCAUGGUUCAUCGAAAGGACGUAAAGAAAUUGAAAAAGAAUCCUGUAAGGUGGAACAAGAUACAGUGUCCUCGUCAAGCUCUAGGUUAUAAGGAUUGUGGCUAUUAUGUUUGUCGUUACAUGAUUGAAACUAUUGCAAGUAGACGACAAUUAAUUCGUGAUAAGUACUUUCUAGGGAUUUCUAGCACUUAUUCCCAAGAGAUGAUUGACGAGCUAAGAGAUAUGUGGGUGAAUUAUUUAAACAAUCAAACACAAGACAAUGGAGAUUGAAGACGACGGUCAAGUUUGAAUUGUACAUAUUAUUUGAUUAUUUUAGAAUUUUAGUUUUAGUAUCUAUCAUUAGAUUAUAGAAACUUUAUUUUAAGAUAUUAUUGGAAGAAAUUGAUGCUUUGAAUAAAAUUGGUUUUGUAUAUAAAUUAAAUGUAGCAAAUAUUUUUUUGACAUGAUGAAUAAAGCAAGCAAGAAUUUAUAUUUAAUAAUAUUAUUG